CUCUACACGGUCUCAUUCUUCUGCUUCACUUGGUUGAGCUGCAUCAACCUGUUUGACGACUCAAAAUGCCGGACGCUACUAAUUUAAAGCGUUUAUGGUGGCCAUGUCAAAGACUCAAGUCGUUCAAGAUGAUCCAUUUUGUGCUGGGAUCAGCUACCUGACUGAGAGGCAUUUUCCUUCCUGGCUUGUAUGCAGAUAAAUGCCGAUCCACUGUAUGCUGGAAUCAGCCACUUGACCGAGGUUCCUUCUUGCCAUGUAUGCAGGUAAAACGGCUGCAUGAUUGCUGAGAGAAGUCAGCUUGUCGACGGCAGGCAACAGAAAACGAGGCAAGUUAAAAGGAGGUGAACUAACCCCUCAAGUAGAUGCCCUCAUGCAGCAAUUGAGGCAAAGGUUAACUGUGGGCACUUGCUGAAUGGGCUAAAGAAACUUGGUUUUCCUUCAGCCGUCCCUCCUGUCUGCAGAAUAUCUAAAAGGGUUGCAUUUUGAAGUUGGUACAAAGAGGAAGUGUGCACUUGCUGAUUGCGCAACACUUGAUUGGUUUACCUUCAGCCACCACCCCCUUGUCUGCAGCAUGGCUAAAAUGGUUGCCUUUAAGUUGGUACAAAGAGGAAGUGUGCACUUGCUGAUUGCGCAACACUUGAUUGGUUUACCUUCAGCCACCACCCCCUUGUCUGCAGCAUGGCUAAAAUGGUUGCCUUUAAGUUGGUACAAAGAGGAAGUGUGCACUUGCUGAUUGCGCAACGCUUGAUUGGUUUACCUUCAGCCACCACCCCCUUGUCUGCAGCAUGGCUAAAAUGGUUGCCUUUAAGUUGGUACAAAGAGGAAGUGUGCACUUGCUGAAUGUGCAACGCUUGACUGGUAUUCCUUGAACCACCACCCCCUUGUCUGCAGCAUAGCGGAAAUGGUUGCCUUGAAGUUGGUACAAAGAGGAAGUGUGCACUUGCUGAAUGCGCAACGCUUGAUUGGUAUUCCUUCAACCACCACCCCCUUGUCUGCAGCAUAGCGGAAAUGGUUGCCUUUAAGUUGGUACAAAGAGGAAGUGUGCACUUGCUGAAUGCGCAAUGCUUGAUUGGUAUUCCUUCAACCACCACCCCCUUGUCUGCAGCAUAGCGGAAAUGGUUGCCUUUAAGUUGGUACGUUUAGUUUCAAAUUGGUCACUAAAUUGGAAAAAAAUACAGGCCACAUGGAUGAUGAAGAAUUCUGCCAGAUGAUUUAUGAUUAUAAUGGCACUGUUCCCAUUUUUUUCCUGACUUUGUGGCCAACCAUAACUAAUAUAUAGUUGAAGGUUCAUGCAUGGUACUAACUACAGUUUUUAUGUAUUCCCAUAGGUACAAAGAGGAAAUGAGGAUAUUCUGAAUGGAAUGAAGAUAACCUGAUUUGUUUGUUCUAUGAAUAAAGAAACUUCUUUAA